AAAUUGUUUCUUGUUCCUCAAGAAUAAGGGCAAGCAAGUCAUUUUACUAUGUUUAUCAAACCCUACUAUUGCACUACCUUUUUACCAUAUAUAUAUAUAUAUAUAAGGGGAUCACUUGCUUGGGCUUGUGAUUAAUUAUUAUGGAGGAAAGAGAGAGGGUCUUGUAAGUAGGGUUUUGAAGCAACUUUUUCUUGGCAAAGAGUGUAUAAAGAUGGAUCUAGAAUUUGAAGUUAAUUUGUGCUAUUUAUUGAAUUGAUGUGGGUUGGGGUUGUUAGAUCUAUUUCUUUGCAUAAGAAGUAUUAAUUGGGAGAUUUGAUUAAAGUUGAAGACAAAAAGGAUUAAAAGAUCAAGGGAACAUGGGUUUGGAAGAAUUGGAAGGGCUUAUUCUUUUGUGGCAACAAUGGUGAAGAGGGCCUAAGCUGCAAGAAAUGUGUGUCAAAAUUGUCCUUGGCCUAACAGCUAAAAGAACACCCAAGGACAAUAGCAGCAGCAAUACUAACUGCUACUGCUGCUAAAGAACGUACUGCUAUUUCAAUAAACUAUGUAUGUGAGCUGCUCCAAAUCUGUGACAACUUGGUUGAUUGCAUGAAUGACCAUCUUCUUAAUCUGUUCCACCAGAGGACGAAACAAGUCAGUAAGAUAUGGAGACUAGGCUUAAUGUAGCCAGAUUAAAAUAAAGCAUUUUGAUAUGGUACCUCUAGUUUGUCUUCUCUGGCCUUGUGGCCUGUCGGCAAUGUCCUGAACUCAGCUGUGAGGCGGAGGCAUUCUUGAAUGUUUUCAGGAGAAACAAAAUCAGCA